GGGCCGGUAGCUCAGGUGGUUAGAGCGCACCCCUGAUAAGGGUGAGGUCGUACGUUCGAGUCGUACUCGGCCCACCA
rnacentral:tRNA from 2 species